rnacentral:rRNA from 1 species
UACGAAGGGGGCUAGCGUUGCUCGGAAUCACUGGGCGUAAAGGGUGCGUAGGCGGGUCUUUAAGUCAGGGGUGAAAUCCCGAGGCUCAACCUCGGAACUGCCUUUGAUACUGGGGAUAUCGAGUCCGGGAGAGGUGAGUGGAACUGCGAGUGUAGAGGUGAAAUUCGUAGAUAUUCGCAAGAACACCAGUGGCGAAGGCGGCUCACUGGCCCGGUACUGACGCUGAGGUGCGAAAGCGUGGGGAGCAAACAGG